UACGGGGGGAGCAAGCGUUGUUCGGAUUUACUGGGCGUAAAGGGUGCGUAGGCGGCGCGGUAAGUCGGGUGUGAAAUCUCGGGGCUUAACUCCGAAACUGCAUUCGAUACUGCCGUGCUUGAGGACUGGAGAGGAGACUGGAAUUUACGGUGUAGCGGUGAAAUGCGUAGAUAUCGUAAGGAAGACCAGUGGCGAAGGCGGGUCUCUGGACAGUUCCUGACGCUGGGGCACGAAGGUCAGGGGAGCAAACGGG
rnacentral:rRNA from 1 species